rnacentral:rRNA from 1 species
GACCUCGGAUCAGGUAGGAACCCGCGC